CUCACUGUUAGAGCUGGAAAUGGUCCUGGGGAGGGGUGGCCCAGAUGGCUACUCUCUGCCCAAACCUGUGCCUGUCCUUCCGUACUGUGGAGUCAACUGAAGCAGCCACGUGAGGGAGAAAGAAACGGAUUACUUUAAGCCACGGAAGCUUGGGAGGUGUUGUUGACAUCGCGGAAGGAAGUGUCAACGUAACCAACACAGUCAAGUUGGGGGCAGGUGGUGAGAGCGGCCGUCCAGGGCCCUGAAGUUCCAGAGGCUGGGAAGUCCAAGAUCAAGGGCCUGGCAGAUUUGGUGUCUGAUGAGAGCCCAUUCUUUGGUUCACCUGGUAGAAGGGACAAGACAUCUCUUUGGACUCCCUUUUAAAAGGGGACUAAUCCCAUUUAUGAAGAGCCUGCCCUCAUGACCCUAAUCCCCUCCCAAAGGCCCCAGCUCCAAAUACUGUCACACUGGGGAUGUGUGAUGAAUGGGGUGGGGGGAGAGCGGACAGGGGAGACGUGACAUUCAGUGCCUAGCAAAAGCCAAUGUCAUUUGUAGGAAGCAUAAUAUGAAUGGAAUGCUGGGCUGAUCAUAGGGCUAUUAUUCAAAACACUAAGCAUCGGUUGAGACCCUGACACCUUCCUCCCACUCAUACCCCCGUGUCCAAUCAGGCCCCACAGAGUUCUGGGGAUUCUAUGUCCUCCGUCCUAUGACCCUGUCUCCUCCUCAUCCCUUGUGCCCUAAAUACACGGCCUCCUUCAGAUCUCCCAAACACCAGCCUCACACCAGCCCCUCUAAAGCUGCACAUGGGAAGAUUUCCAAGGGGUUUUCUUGGCAUUGAAAACCUAACCAUGGCUCUCCCUGUCUAAACCCUUAAGCACAUCCCAGUAUCCUCAAAAUAAGUCUACGCUUAUGGAGUAAAGGCAGAAGAGGGUGGGCUUUGGAGGCAGACUCCUCUGGGUCUGAUCCCUGACCUCCCCACCUCCCCACCUUCAUGACCCUGCACGCGGACCUUAUGCUUUUGAUUUUCCUUUUCUUGACCAAUAAAGUAGAUCACACCACAAUGCCUUGCAUGUAGAAUGUCCUCCUCCUUAAUCAGCUUUCUUGCUUUCCCGUGCAUGGAGCAAAGGACACUAAACAUGGAGGUGGGAAGCCUGAUUCGAGGCUGGCCGCUAGCACAGCACUUGCACGGAGUAGGUGCUCCAGACAUGCACCUGCCAGAUGGGUCAAUGCCAAAGCCCUGACUCCCUGUCAUGCAUGGCUCUACUCCAGCUGCUACACUUGGGGUCCUUUCCAGGCGUGAGAAGGCGGGCGUUACCGGAGAAUGUGCUACACUUUGCUGUCUCUGCCAUGUCCACGAG